AGCGAACGCUGGCGGCAGGCUUAACACAUGCAAGUCGAGCGGGCACUUCGGUGUCAGCGGCAGACGGGUGAGUAACACGUGGGAACGUACCCUUUGGUUCGGAAUAACGCUGGGAAACUAGCGCUAAUACCGGAUACGCCCUUUUGGGGAAAGGCUUGCUGCCGAAGGAUCGGCCCGCGUCUGAUUAGCUAGUUGGUGGGGUAAUGGCCUACCAAGGCGACGAUCAGUAGCUGGUCUGAGAGGAUGAUCAGCCACACUGGGACUGAGACACGGCCCAGACUCCUACGGGAGGCAGCAGUGGGGAAUAUUGGACAAUGGGCGCAAGCCUGAUCCAGCCAUGCCGCGUGGGUGAUGAAGGCCUUAGGGUUGUAAAGCUCUUUUGUCCGGGACGAUAAUGACGGUACCGGAAGAAUAAGCCCCGGCUAACUUCGUG
rnacentral:rRNA from 1 species